GUCUCUUGGAGGUAGAGCACUGUUUGGGUGAGGGGUCCAUCCCGGAUUACCAAACACAGAUAAACUCCGAAUGCCAACGAGAUAUAAUCCGCAGUCAGACUGCGAGUGCUAAGAUCCGUAGUCGAAAGGGAAACAGCCCAGACCACCAGCUAAGGUCCCAAAAUAUAUGUUAAGUGGAAAAGGAUGUGGGGUUGCACAGACAACUAGGAUGUUAGCUUAGAAGCAGCUAUUCAUUCAAAGAGUGCGUAAUAGCUCACUAGUCGAGUGACCCUGCGCCGAAAAUGUACCGGGGCUAAAACAUAUUACCGAAGCUGUGGAUACCUUUAUAGGUAUGGUAGGAGAGCGUUCUAUGUGCGAAGAAGGUGUACCGUGAGGAGUGCUGGAGCGCAUAGAAGUGAGAAUGCCGGUAUGAGUAGCGAAAGACAGGUGAGAAUCCUGUCCACCGUAAGACUAAGGUUUCCAGGGGAAGGCUCGUCCGCCCUGGGUUAGUCGGGACCUAAGGAGAGACCGAAAGGUGUAUCCGAUGGACAACAGGUUGAUAUUCCUGUACUAGAGUAUAUAGUGAUGGAGGGACGCAGUAGGCUAACUAAACCAGACGAUUGGAAGUGUCUGGCCAAGCAGUGAGGUGUGAUAUGAGUCAAAUGCUUAUAUCUAUAACAUUGAGCUGUGAUGGGGAGCGAAGUUUAGUAGCGAAGUUAGUGAUGUCACACUGCCGAGAAAAGCUUCUAGCGUUAAUUAUACUCUACCCGUACCGCAAACCGACACAGGUAGUCGAGGCGAGUAGCCUCAGGUGAGCGAGAGAACUCUCGUUAAGGAACUCGGCAAAAUGGCCCCGUAACUUCGGGAGAAGGGGCGCUGACUUAUGGUCAGCCGCAGUGAAUAGGCCCAAGCAACUGUUUAUCAAAAACACAGCUCUCUGCUAAAUCGUAAGAUGAUGUAUAGGGGGUGACGCCUGCCCGGUGCUGGAAGGUUAAGAGGAGUGCUUAGCGUAAGCGAAGGUAUGAAUUGAAGCCCCAGUAAACGGCGGCCGUAACUAUAACGGUCCUAAGGUAGCGAAAUUCCUUGUCGGGUAAGUUCCGACCCGCACGAAAGGCGUAAUGAUUUGGGCACUGUCUCAACGAGAG
rnacentral:rRNA from 1 species